UUUUUAAAAAAAAAUUCCCCAAACCCAUUUUCUCCAUUUCUUGUUCUCAUUCUAUCUCUCUCAUCUUAUAUUGACCUAAUUUUUAUUUUCCCCGUGAAACAAUUGGAACUCAAGCAUCAAGCAUUUACUUCACACUUGCAUUCAAUCCACUGUAGUGUAUGGUGGUUGGAGAAAUUCAAGUGGCAGCAAAGACAAAACAUGGGAAUUUUUGCCAAAUUCGGACUAUGGGCACCAAAAAAGGGAUGAAUUAUACAAAAUUUCAGAAACCCAGAAGCAAAACAAGUGUUCAAAUUGUGGUGGUCUUGGCCACAACAAGAAAAAGUGCAAAAAACCACCACAACCAACUGCUCCAAAGUCUAAAGGAGGAAAGCCAAAGUCAAUAGAUCCAGUGGUGCAAAGUAUAGAGAAGAAGAAGAAAAGAAAGAGGAAGGGCACUGGUGAUCAAGUUCAAACAAGCACCCUGCAACCCCCACAACCAAGUCAGCCAUCUCAAUCCAGCUGCAUUUCAACAGUGGUGCUCGAUUUUGCUAGUCAAACAUAACUUAGCUUUCACUCAAUUAACUUAACUACAAGUUGCUUUUCAAAUUUGAUGUAUUUUCGAGUAAACUUAUGUAUGCUACUACUAUGUAAGCAUUUUAUGUAUGUUAUGUAUUUUGGUUUUGCCUAAAACAAUUGGCAAUCAUUUGACUAUUAUGGAAGUUUUUUAUUUGAUCA